AAUAUUUGACAAUGGGCGAAAGCCUGAUCCAGCAAUGCCGCGUGAGUGAUGAAGGCANNNGGGUUNUCAAGCUCUUUUACCAGNGAANAUAAUGACAGUACCUGGAGAAUAAGCUCCGGCUAACUGCGUGCCAGCAGCCGCGGUAAUACGGAGGGAGCUAGCGUUGUUCGGCAAUACUGGGCGUAAAGCGUACGUAGGCGGCAUCGUAAGUCAGGGGUGAAAUCCCGGGGCUCAACCCCGGAACUGCCCUUGAAACUGCAGUGCUAGAAUCUUGGAGAGGCGAGUGGAAUUCCGAGUGUAGAGGUGAAAUUCGUAGAUAUUCGGAAGAACACCAGUGGCGAAGGCGACUCGCUGGACAAGUAUUGACGCUGAGGUGCGAAAGCGUGGGGAGCAAAC
rnacentral:rRNA from 1 species